rnacentral:tRNA from 1 species
GCCGGCGUAGCUCAAUGGCGGAGCAGGGCUUUCAUAAGGCCAAGGUUAGUGGUUCGAAUCCACUCGCCGGCA